UUCCGGUUGAUCCUGCCAGAGGUCACUGCUANNGGGGUUCGAUUAAGCCAUGCGAGUCGAGAGGGUUCGGCCCUCGGCGUACUGCUCAGUAACACGUGGAUAACCUGCCCUAGGGGAGGGGAUAACCCCGGGAAACUGGGGAUAAUACCCUAUAGGUUACAGAUGCUGGAAUGCCCUGUAACCAAAAGCUCCGGCGCCCUAGGAUGGAUCUGCGGCCGAUUAGGUUGUUGUUGGGGUAACGGCCCAACAAGCCCGUAAUCGGUACGGGUUGUGGGAGCAAGAGCCCGGAGUUGGAUUCUGAGACACGAAUCCAGGCCCUACGGGGCGCAGCAGGCGCGAAACCUUUACAAUGCGGGCAACCGUGAUAAGGGAACCUCGAGUGCCUGUAAACGCAGGCUGUUCAGGUGUUUAAAACGCACCUGGAGAAAGGGCCGGGCAAGACCGGUGCCAGCCGCCGCGGUAAUACCGGCGGCUCGAGUGGUGGCCGCUUUUAUUGGGCUUAAAGCGUUCGUAGCUGGGUUGUUAAGUCUCUUGGGAAAUCUGGCGGCUUAACCGUCAGGCGUCUAAGGGAUACUGGCAAUCUUGGAACCGGGAGAGGUGAGGGGUACUUCGGGGGUAGGGGUGAAAUCCUGUAAUCCUCGAGGGACCACCUGUGGCGAAGGCGCCUCACCAGAACGGCUUCGACAGUGAGGGACGAAAGCUGGGGGAGCAAACCGGAUUAGAUACCCGG
rnacentral:rRNA from 1 species